rnacentral:lncRNA from 1 species
AAACCAAACAGACUUCCUCUCGAAUUCAUCUCCUUUCUGUCCCCUUCACCAAAUUUUUCAUUAGUUCUUUAAUUUGGUUGCUAAUUGCUACUAUAAUUCCGAUAACAUAAAACCAGGCCGCAGAGGACAACAUUCGUUCCAUGCCAUGUAAUCUGCAUUGGCGCAAACACUGCUAGGCAUGGGAUGUAUCAGCCACUUAUGGAGAACUGGAUCAGGCAACAUUGGAGCAUUUGGCCCAUUGUGUUGGGCUGGCACUUAUUGGCGACAUGGCUUUUCGGCCGGUUACGUGCUCUGUUAGGCUGGGUUUCCAACCGAGACUGAUUUAUUCCCCUUGAUAUCUCAUAGCCCCACGGUUAUCAUUGGUCUAGGGGUUAUGACUAAUUUGUAAAAGUCUCUUCUAUAACAGUUAUCUUUCUCAAAUACUCCAUCUGUUCUCUAUAAUGAAAGUUUUUUAAAAAAAAUUAAGACGCCUUAAGGAAAAACUACUCCAAUAAAUUAAACCCAAUUAAAGGCUUUCUCCUUAUAAAUCUGGUAAGGUUUCUUUUUAACAAAAUUUGCCAAAUGGAACAUGGACACUACGUAAAAUGCUAGUAUAGAUUUUUGAAAGCAUAAUACAUCGGAUUGUGUAUUCGAGGACGAAAGGGAAUAGCUUUUUUCUUAUCCAUUAUCUAAAAAAACAUAGGCACCUUCUAUGAGCACAAUUUCUUCGGAACUGACGAAGUUAAUUGUGAGAAUAGAGUAUUUUGUUUUUUUUCAGUUCUUGUCCUCUAGCUUACUGCUUGUAAUCUUUGGCAAUACAAUAUUAUUUUUUCUAAGUCAAACUUGUCAACUUUUUACUAAGUUUUUUAAAUACUAUAACAAUAACAAUACCAAUGCCAAUAGAUCUAGAUUUUUGUGAAAAGGUGUCCUCCACAACAUCUCAUUUUUUUUGCGAAAACCCAACAGCAUCUUCAAAUGAAUAUCCAAAUAUAGUUAUCCUCUAUUCUGAAUUUCUCUCUCUAGCUAAAGAUGGGCAACGAGUUUAACUCUCCAGGGUGUACACAAUAUAUAUAGAUAAAGAAAUUGAUUUUUAUUCAAAUGACUUUUUGAACGAAGGUUACAGGAUGAGUUUUAGAAAGACUUUCAUGAGAUGCUCUUAAUCUGUUCAUCGAAGCAACCUUCUCGCUCCUUUUCCCUCCUCAUAUAUAACCACCAAAACCUGCAGCCUUGGCAAAACUCCAGCUCACUUCUGAUCUUUUAUAUAUCAUUUAUACAAUAUUGUGUUAUUUUGUUGCCGGUCA